rnacentral:lncRNA from 1 species
ACCCUAAUUUCAGAUUAGCAGAGCACAUACAAGUCGGCAGAACAAAGUAGCAGUCGAGAUUAGAGAUUAGCGAAUCGCAAGUCGAGAAUAGCAAUAGAGAUUCCUUCGAGAUUAACAAUUGAGAUCGAGAAAUCAAGAUAUGAAGAAAUCAAAUAUCUUCUCAAUGAUUUUCUGAGGAGGUGUGACUAAUUGAUUCUGCAGCUCAAUUCAUUC